AGCGGCGGACGGGUGAGUAACACGUGGGUAACCUGCCCAAGAGACUGGGAUAACACCUGGAAACAGAUGCUAAUACCGGAUAACAACACUAGACGCAUGUCUAGAGUUUGAAAGAUGGUUCUGCUAUCACUCUUGGAUGGACCUGCGGUGCAUUAGCUAGUUGGUAAGGUAACGGCUUACCAAGGCAAUGAUGCAUAGCCGAGUUGAGAGACUGAUCGGCCACAUUGGGACUGAGACACGGCCCAAACUCCUACGGGAGGCAGCAGUAGGGAAUCUUCCACAAUGGACGAAAGUCUGAUGGAGCAACGCCGCGUGAGUGAAGAAGGGUUUCGGCUCGUAAAGCUCUGUUGGUAGUGAAGAAAGAUAGAGGUAGUAACUGGCCUUUAUUUGACGGUAAUUACUUAGAAAGUCACGGCUAACUACGUGCCAGCAGCCGCGGUAAUACGUAGGUGGCAAGCGUUGUCCGGAUUUAUUGGGCGUAAAGCGAGUGCAGGCGGUUCAAUAAGUCUGAUGUGAAAGCCUUCGGCUCAACCGGAGAAUUGCAUCAGAAACUGUUGAACUUGAGUGCAGAAGAGGAGAGUGGAACUCCAUGUGUAGCGGUGGAAUGCGUAGAUAUAUGGAAGAACACCAGUGGCGAAGGCGGCUCUCUGGUCUGCAACUGACGCUGAGGCUCGAAAGCAUGGGUAGCGAACAGGAUUAGAUACCCUGGUAGUCCAUGCCGUAAACGAUGAGUGCUGAGUGU
rnacentral:rRNA from 1 species